UUAGCAGACAAGACGCUCUUAUUUCCCGAGCCCUUAUUCCAGUCAAGACACAUCUUCUAUAGUAAAAAAAAACCCAUUAUGUAAUAUAACAAAACAAAAUAAAACAGAAUAGUGCGAAGAUAUUCACAGUUAUUCUCAUAGCGAUCAUUUGAAACGGGGCUCAAUUUGGCAAGUUGAAAGACACAUGCCUUUUCCUUGGAAUUUUCUAAAUGGAUAAACAGUUCUACAUUGAACACUGCAUGGGGAUGAAUUAUGGCCACGACAUCUGUUUGGUCGUGAUGUCCCAUACCGCUGCAUCGUGACAGUCUGGAGACAGAGAGUAUCCACCAUCUGGGGAUCUGCAAGCUGUAAGUCACCUCAAUUGAGGGCAACUAAACAUUUUGAUGCGGCAGCUACCUCCUUCAGUUUCUCCCCCC